AUUGAACGCUGGCGGCAGGCCUAACACAUGCAAGUCGAACGAGUGGCGGACGGGUGAGUAAUGUCUGGGAAACUGCCUGAUGGAGGGGGAUAACUACUGGAAACGGUAGCUAAUACCGCAUACCAUCGGAUGUGCCCAGAUGGGAUUAGCUAGUCGGUGGGGUAACGGCUCACCUAGGCGACGAUCCCUAGCUGGUCUGAGAGGAUGACCAGCCACACUGGAACUGAGACACGGUCCAGACUCGUACGGGAGGCAGCAGUGGGGAAUAUUGCACAAUGGGCGCAAGCCUGAUGCAGCCAUGCCGCGUGUAUGAAGAAGGCCUUCGGGUUGUAAAGUACUUUCAGUGGGGAGGCGUUACUCGCAGAAGAAGCACCGGCUAACUCCGUGCCAGCAGCCGCGGUAAUAC
rnacentral:rRNA from 1 species